CUGGUGCCAGCAGCCGCGGUAAUUCCAGCUCCAAUAGCGUAUAUUAAAGUUGUUGCAGUUAAAAAGCUCGUAGUUGAAUUUCGGGAUUAAUUUAUUGGUCGUGCUAUUGUAUGUACUGGUGUUACUGAUUCCUACCUUCUGACGAACCGUCAUGUCAUUCAUUUGGUGUGGCGGGGAAUCAGGACUGUUACUUUGAAAAAAUUAGAGUGUUUAAAGCAGGCUCGCGCUUGAAUACAUUAGCAUGGAAUAAUGAAAUAGGACGUUUGAUCCUAAUUUUGUUGGUUUCUAGGAUCAACGUAAUGAUUAAUAGGGAUAGUUGGGGGCAUUAGUAUUCAAUUGUCAGAGGUGAAAUUCUUGGAUUUAUUGAGGACUAACUACUGCGAAAGCAUUUGCCAAGGAUGUUUUCAUUAAUCAAGAACGAAAGUUAGGGGAUCGAAGACGAUCAGAUACCGUCGUAGUCUUAACCAUAAACUAUGCCGACUAGGGAUCGGAUGAUGUUAAUUUUUUAAUGACUCAUUCGGCGCCUUACG
rnacentral:rRNA from 1 species